UACAUAGGGGGCGAGCGUUGUCCGGAAUGACUGGGCGUAAAGGGUGUGUAGGCGGUUUAUUAAGUUAGAAGUGUAAUACCUAGGGCUUAACUCAGGUGCUGCUUCUAAAACUGGUGAACUUGAGUGUAGGAGAGGAUGAUGGAAUUCCUAGUGUAGCGGUGGAAUGCGCAGAUAUUAGGAGGAACACCAGAGGCGAAAGCGAUCAUCUGGACUACAACUGACGCUGAGGCACGAAAGCGUGGGGAGCAAACAGG
rnacentral:rRNA from 1 species